rnacentral:rRNA from 1 species
AUGGCCGCCCCAGCCACGCCGCGCCUCCUGCUCUCGCCGACGUCCAAGGACCUCAUCACCGGAAGCUCCUUCGCCUCGCCUCCUUCCCCCACCUCCUCCUCCCCCGACCCCGCCUCCCCGCUCGACGCCUUCGCCUCCGAUCCCGUCCUCUCCGCCUUCCUCUCCCCGUCCUUCUCCCCCUCCGACUUCUCCUCCGCCGCGCUCUCCUCCGGCCUUGCCGCCUCCCGCGCCGAGCAGCUGCAGGACGCCAUCCGCCUCCUCCGUCGCCACCUCCGCGCCGAGGUGCUGCGCCGACAUCCGCUCCUCCUCUCGCACCUCCUCUCCCUCCGCUCCGCCUCCGCCUCCCUCUCCAGUCUCCCCUCCAACCUCCGCCUCCUCUUCUCCCACCUCUCCCUACUCUCAUCUCACCUCUCGGCGCCGCGCGCCCACCUCGCGCUCUCCUCCUCCUCCCUCUCCAGCCUCCUCGCCACCGCCGACCUCCUCCUCCACUCCCACCGUCUCGUCCGCCUCUCCUCACGCCUCCUCGCCUCCUCCCCUGCCCCCGACCUCGCCCGCCAGGCUGAGCUCCAUCGCGAGAUCCGCCUCCUAUACGAGGAGAAGAACCUCUCCGGCAUCAAUGCCGUUGAUGAGGAAAUGCGCAAGGUUGAUGCUGCCGCCUCCAAGCUCCGAUCGGAGGCCAGUGCUGUGAUCGACCGUGGCAUCACCGAGUCCAACCAGAACGACAUCUGGUGCGGUCUGCAGGUGUACUACAAUCUUGGAGAACUGAAGCCGGCGGUUGAGGGGCUCGUGGGGAAGUGCAAGGCAGCAGGGGCGAAGAGCGUGACCGUGGCACUGGACAUGAAGGCGAUAUCGAUGGCUGGUGGUGGAGGCGGCCCUGGAGGCGUGCAGAGAAGCGGCACGCCACAGCUUGGUGGCAGUAAGAGGGCAGCGGAUGCACUCUGGGAAAGGAUGAGGCAGUGCAUGGAGGAGCUGCAUCGGGCAGUCACCGCUGCAUGGCAGCUGCAGACUGUGCUCACCAAGAAGCGUGUGCCGUUCACACAAAUGCUGUUCCUUGAGGAGGUUUGGCAGGAGGGUGAGCCUCUGUUGACAGAGAGAGUAUGGGAUGCAAUUGUUAAGGCCUUUGCAAGCCAGCUGAAAUCUGUCUUUACUGCGUCAAGCUUUGUCAAGGAAAUAUUUACUCUUGGAUAUCCAAGACUGUUCUCAAUGAUUGAGAACCUUCUUGAGAGGAUUUCAAGAGAUACUGAUGUAAAGGGUACCCUUCCAGCACUUACUCCCGAAGGAAAAGAUCACAUGGUUGCAGCCAUUGAGAUAUUCCAGACCGCCUUUUUGGCUCUUAGUCAGAGUCGUCUUUCUGAUUACAUCAAUAGCAUAUUUCCUAUGUCAAACCGUGGAAGUAUACCAUCAAAGGAUCAAAUAUCAAGGCUAAUAUCUCGCAUCCAAGAGGAAAUUGAAGUUGUGCGAACUCAUGGGCAUUUGCUGCUUCUUGUUCUACGUGAAAUUGGAAAGAUCUUGCUUCUUUUAGCACAAAGAGCUGAAUAUCAGAUCUCUACUGGCCCUGAAGCCCGUCAAGUUACUGGCACAGUGACUCCAGCUCAAUUAAAAAACUUUGCUCUGUGUCUACAUCUCCACGAGGUUCACACACGUAUUUCAAGCAUCCUGUCAACACUCCCAAAUGUUGCUUCUGAAGUCCUUUCCCCAUCUCUUGGGGUCAUAUAUGGGGUUGCUUGUGAUUCGGUGACCUCCCUAUUCCAAGCAAUGCUCGAUCGUCUGGAAUCAUGCAUUCUGCAAAUGCACGAGCAGGACUUUGGAGCUGAUGGAAUGGAUGGAGCGAUGGACAAUAAUGCAUCAGCCUACAUGGAGGAGCUUCAGAAGUGUGCCGUCCACUUCCGCAGCGAGUUCUUGUCAAAGCUUCUGCCAUCAUCAGCCUCCCGCUCGGAGACCAUAUGUACCAUAAUGGUUAGAAGGAUGGCUUCAAGGAUCCUUAUAUUCUUCAUAAGACACGCUUCUCUUGUCAGGCCACUCUCUGAAGCAGGGAAGUUGAGAAUGGCUAGGGACAUGGCCGAGCUGGAGCUAGCUGUCGGUCAGAAUCUGUUUCCUGUGGAGCAGCUGGGCUCUCCAUACCGGGCAUUGCGUGCGUUCCGCCCCGUCCUAUUCCUGGAAACAUGUCAGCUUGACAAGUCUCCACUCCUUCAGGACUUACCACCCAGCGUGAUCCUCCACCACCUAUAUUCGCGAGGGCCGGAUGAGCUACACUCGCCCUUACAGCGAAACAAGCUGACACCGCUGCAGUACUCUCUGUGGCUUGAUUCACAAGGCGAGGAUCAGAUCUGGAAGGGCGUGAAGGCAACCCUGGACGACUAUGAGAUGAAGGUCAGGUCCCGUGGAGACAAGGAGUUCAGUCCAGUGUACCCUCUCAUGUGUCAGAUUGGAUCUGCAUUGUCACAGGCCACACCUUGA